rnacentral:rRNA from 1 species
UACAGAGGUCCCAAGCGUUGUUCGGAUUCACUGGGCGUAAAGGGUGCGUAGGCGGUCGGGUAAGUCUGACGUGAAAUCUUCGAGCCUAACUCGGAAACUGCGUCGGAUACUAUUCGGCUAGAGGAAUGGAGGGGAGACUGGAAUACUUGGUGUAGCAGUGAAAUGCGUAGAUAUCAAGUGGAACACCAGUGGCGAAGGCGAGUCUCUGGACAUUUCCUGACGCUGAGGCACGAAAGCCAGGGGAGCAAACGGG